CAGAGAAAGGUUUUUUCACCUUCUCCACUUUCUCUCUCUAGGGUUUCUCUCUCUUCAAGUGGAAAUCGCCGAAUCGAGCUUAUUUCGUGCCGUGCUCGUUGCUUGCUGGUUUGGACACUCAAGGGAAGUCUUUGGGACGUGGGGAGAAGGAUUUUUACUGAGUUUUCUGUGGGUUUCUCACCAGGGAAAGCUGAAUCUCAGCUUUAGAGAGCUGAGUUUGAGAAGGCUUCCAGCAGCUAGAGAGGGGUUAUCUAUCUGUGAUUUCUCCAUUUUAGUCCAGGGAAAAGUUGCCUUGAAGCUUGAGGAAGUAGGUUUUCAAACCAUUUUGAACUAAAUUGGUGACCUUAGAAACUAGUUUGGAAGGUGUUCCAACCAGGGCGAGAGUACAACCGACUUUUGGAUGAUCUUUGGUUGGCAUUGGAGAGCCUUUAGAGGUUAAUCUUGAGCAGGGUUGAGGCCUAGUUGAGCUGAAUUUCGGGACUCCUUUGGGCUGGAUUGAGCUUAGUGAUAGAUGGGUUUGACCUAACCAGAGCAAGUGAAGCUCCUCUAUGUUCUAUAUGAUACUAUAGAAUUGACACAUAUGCGCGUUUUUGUGAUUAUGCGAUCGAUAAAGGGCUUGGAACAUAUCACCAUAGUGUUUGAUAUAUUUGAAAUAAAAUCUUUAUGAAGUAGAUAACACUAAUGCAUAAAAGUAUUUAUGUUUAUAUUUAGUUCAAUUGAAUAACUUGUGGACAUAUCUAUUAUGCUUCUAUAAAGUAGAGAACAAUGACAUCCUUUGUGACUAUUUUGAUAGUACCUUGAUAGUAGGAAGUUUCUAAUGUCAUAUGUAAAUUAACAUUACUUUCAUGUGCUUACUAAUCUAGUGGAUUCUAGCUAUUGUCAUUGUUCAUUGUAUUGAGAAUUCCGAUCAAUAGAUCGAGAGUGAGAACAUUGCAUACUAUGACGUGAGGUUUGAGACAUAUUGGACUAUGGACUUUGCUUGCUUGCCAUUGUGCCCAUUCGCACAUGCUUGUGAGGGUAGCUCUCUACAAGCCGGCACUCCGGAGUUGGCCUAUGCGACAGAUUACUCGCCCGUACGGGAUUGGGUGCCGAAGUGGAUUGCCGUGGGUAGUGUAUACUACCACGGGUCCAUUAGGUGCGAUGCAAGCUGAAUUACCUUGUGUAGGUCCUUAUGAAUGAAAUUAAAGUUCGAAAUUAAAGUUCUAAAUGACGGAUGAUAGUAAGGAUUGAUUACCAGCUAUAGUUUACAGUAUUUACUUACACGUUUAUACUUAUGUUCAUGUUUAUGUUCAUGCUUACAGUAAUUGUUAUGCUUUUAUUAUUCAGUUGAUUCAUUACUAUAGAAAGUAUGAUUACAUGUUGAUUACAUGUUCAUUACCUGUUAGUAUUGUAAAUAUAUCAUGCAAUUACUGCUUUUACGUUCAUUUAGUACAUCAUGAGCCUAGUGGUGUAAUUCGCCGAGGCUGGCAGCUUACCCACUAGGAACUAUUGUUUAAUAGUUCUCACGCCCUUU